UAUCUCUCCGUACGGGGAAGGAUGAGAAGCUUCGACCAAGGUUCGAUUCGAGCGUCAGCGAGAAAGCGUUGCCGCAGGCAACGACCCGAAGGGU
rnacentral:sRNA from 1 species